rnacentral:rRNA from 1 species
UAGGGAAUCUUCCGCAAUGGGCGAAAGCCUGACGGAGCAACGCCGCGUGAGUGAUGAAGGUCUUCGGAUCGUAAAACUCUGUUAUUAGGGAAGAACAAAUGUGUAAGUAACUAUGCACGUCUUGACGGUACCUAAUCAGAAAGCCACGGCUAACUACGUGCCAGCAGCCGCGGUAAUACGUAGGUGGCAAGCGUUAUCCGGAAUUAUUGGGCGUAAAGCGCGCGUAGGCGGUUUUUUAAGUCUGAUGUGAAAGCCCACGGCUCAACCGUGGAGGGUCAUUGGAAACUGGAAAACGUGAGUGCAGAAGAGGAAAGUGGAAUUCCAUGUGUAGCGGUGAAAUGCGCAGAGAUAUGGAGGAACACCAGUGGCGAAGGCGACUUUCUGGUCUGUAACUGACGCUGAUGUGCGAAAGCGUGGGGAUCAAACAGG